GGGGUUGUAGCUUAGUGGUUAGAGCAUUGAACUCAUACCUGAAAGGUUGGGGGUUCAAUUCCCAAUCCUA
rnacentral:tRNA from 1 species